AGCAGCCAGGGGGCAGGAAGUGGGAAGAGGCGGAUAGUGGGCAGAUAGGGGGUGAGGGCCAGGCUGUUUGGGGAGGCACAGCCUUUGCUACCCGGUCCUCUAUACAGUUUUGCAACCCCAAUGUGGCCCUCGGGCCAAAAAGUUUGCCCACCCCUACUCUAGCAGCACCUCAGAACAGCAAUAUAACAUAAGCCUUAUAAAGUGCUGCUUCCUUCUGAAGGCUUGUGCUCAUUAUGUUGUGCCUUCUGUGUCCAAAUGCAGAAACUGAAACAGCUACUUAACAUGUAAAAAAGUUUUUUGGGUUUUUUUUUAGUAGGCAAAAGGACUGCAGUUCUCUGUGUAAAGAUGCAAAGUGCCUCAUUUGCCAUCAAAGUUAAUGAGGAUGUCAGUGAGGUUCAGCUCCCAGAGGUCACUGUGGAGUCUGCCAAAAAAAAAAGAAAGAAGAAGAAGAAACUAUGAAUAGUAAUGAGCAUCUCACCGUGAGGUAAAACAAAGAGGACGGUAUAAGACACAUAGCUCAGCUACAUGCAGAAUAAUGACAUUGUGAGCAGUGCCUCUUGUGUACUACACAACUGAAUGAAGGCGUGCAAUGUGUGGGCUGAGAAAGCUUUGAAGCAAUCACUAAGGAUGAAUUGUACUUUUAGGUGCAGAUCGGGCUGGGGCUGUGCCAGACUACUCCUGGGGUGCGGUUCCCAAAUGCUUUGUGGACCACUUCAGCAUACAGCGAGAGCUCAUCUGCUACAGCACCCCUUUUGGGACUGUAGAAUACACUCCAUUUCUAGUUAGCUUCCUCCUAGUGCUCCCUAGAUUCCUCCUACUCCUCCCUGGCUGCUUUGGUUCAUCAUGGGAGUGCAGGUGUAACGCUGACAGACCCCGGUGGUCAGUGGGCGGGAUCAAACCGGGGACCUAUGGAGCUUAGUGCAUGAGCUUCUACUGCAUGAGCUAAAAGCCAAAUAGCUGUUAGCUACGGCUGUAGAGCAGACUCAUUUAACUCUCUCUCUAAGUGGUCUCGGUGCCACUAAAUGGGACAGAGCACCACACCCAGAAGGUGUGAGGGUUACACAAGUAAAGCAGUCUUUGUUGUCCCAUGAGUGCAGGGACUGCACAGAUCUGGGCGACGGUGCGGGGGACAGACAUUCUAACAUGCAUGUAAUGGUAUCCAUGGGCCAUUGCAGAAGUGUAGAAUUGCAGAGUUUAAUAACACUUUGCUUGUUCCAUCUCCUGACACACCCUUGGUGUGGCUCAGAAUACCCCCUCUGUAGCAUUUCUACAAGGUGUGACGAGGGUUGCAGAACUUUCUACAGAAGGCCUGUUCCCCAGAGGAUUGGCACCACAGUGAAUUCUCCGAUCGUCACUCUCUGGAAGCUCACCGAAAGGCUGACUCAGUCACCAAGAUCAAUCUGCAAGUUGGGGAGCAGGAGAGGAGAGGACAGGACAAGUUUGGUGUAAGCAGCCCCGGCAGAUGUCUUGGCACCAUCUCAAAGGUCAUAGCAAAACUGAUCCCUAUGGAGUCAGGGAUCCUCAUUCUCCAAGGUUUGUGCCAGAACAGUCGCCUCCUCUCCAUCUCCUUUGUCUGAGGAUUCCUGGGGCUGGAGAAAUGCAGUGGUGUCUCCCUACAAGGCCUUCCUGUUGAAUCUGCCCAGUUCCCUCAGUGACUUUAUGCAGUGCUUUGGUCUGCUGCUGGCCAUUUCAAGCCUCAAUGCCAGGAAGUCGACUCAGUAGCAAUGAUUAAACCUUUUAACCUUUAGAGGUUUGCCCAGCACCUCACCUCACUUAUAUAGAUGGCCCUGGUUAUCUAUUUAUUGCCGCAUUGCCCUGGAAAGGAGGUGGAAAUACCUUGUAAUGACACUACAGAAACCCCAAAAUCUCAGAGAAAUGCAAGAUCUACUCAUAAAUUCUAGGAAACUACUAGUCCACCAGGAAUUUUUGAGACGACUAGGGUAGCCACACGGUAAUGCAGCACAAUCUGUCCCUAUGCAAUGCUUCAUGCUAUAAGCUGAAAUAGUGGCCACGCAUUAUGUUAGCAUAACCAGGCACUGGAUCGACUUCCCAAAGCUCCCCUGUACACCAGCCUCUUUUGAUCUGGCAUGGAGCCCACCACUCUCAUGCAGAGGAUACAGAGUUCUCCCACACAGUCAUUCCACCUACAAUGGAUGGCCCCUACAGAUCCCUACUGCAAAGCUCUCAAUAUAUAGAUGAGUUUCACCCUCUGAGGAGAUUGGUCUUGGGCCUGAUUCUGGUCUCACACCAGUUUUACAUCAGUUGAAUUCCAUUGAUUUCACCAGAGUGAGAACCUCAUGAAUGGAAGCAGGAUUGGGGCCAUUAUUGCUAGUGAAAGAUACUGUGGUGAAAUAUGGCUGGAAUAUACCCUUAUCUGGAGGCAUGAUAGAAUGAAAGUGUCUUUAGUUCAAGGGAAUGAAAACAUAUAUAAAACUAUUUGUGGGGAACAGAAACAGAGACCACCAAAAUAAUAAAAAGAUUCAGCACAUUCCAAGAAAACAAGAUAGCAAAGGAUGAAAUAAGAAUCUUUCAUCCAGAGGCUGCUCAAGUGUGCAUUUAAAAGAAGGAAUAGAUCUGCCUGUUGUAACCCACCUGUACAUACUCAUAACGCUCACUGCUCAGCAUAACCUAUUAAGCAAAAUCAAGUGUGCAAGACUAAUACCAAAUCAAUUACAGCAGCUAAUGUGUGCAAUAACCAGCCAGCAGAAAUGUUUCAAGUUGUACACAGUAUUCAUCACAGGUAAUAAUAACCUCUUAGCCGGAGUAUGAGAAAUUAAAUCAGCUGGCAAGGUUCAAGGGAGAACUUAAUAGAACAUAUAUUAAAACUUCCCAAGGGGUCUUGUAAUCUAUUGAAAUGGAAUGUGGGUUACCAAUGUACUUGGUAUUAGCUUUCAAAAUAUCCAGUUUCUUAUCACUCCCUAAAGGCUUAGGUCUUGACUCACAUGAACAGUCCUAUUGAAUUCAACAGGGCUACUUGCUUGAGUAAGGGUUACUCAUGUGGCUAAAGGUUGUAGGAUUGGAGUGUAUAUUAAAAAUGCUCAUAUUGUUAGACCAUUUAUUUACAAUGGGGGGGGGUAGAUGAAAUAAUAUAAAUCCUGUAGUUAUAAAAACAGCCUUAGUCUGCACUGUAAAUCCUGCAGUGAUACUUCUGAGGUCAUAAUCUCAGAUAAUGAAUAUGAUUUACAAUUACUCCCAGUUUAACUGUUCUAAACCAUGUGACAUGGUACCUCAGCAUCAUGGAGGAGGAAGGAGAUUGACUCGAAUGUAGAGGGCACAAGAACCAGACCUGGGGUUGGCCAAAGGCGUAGAUUAGUAUAAGCUGCCUGAGGAAGGCAUGGGGAGACUAGGACUAGAAGUUGGUGGUGGGAGGUAGUCUGGGACUGGAACUGGCUGAGCAAAGAGACUGGGAGCCCAAUGGGAAGGGAGUCUGGGAGAGUAACUGUGAGAGUAAAAAUGCCGGUCAAUGAGUCUGGGGCAAGUAGCAAGGUGGGGGUGAGGACUGGGACUCAGAUGUAGAGUCCUGAGAAAGAAACUGGGAAAGGAGAUAGAGUCUGGGAUGAGAAGCCCAGGCUUGGCUAGGUGAGGACACUGGCAGACAGAGGCAGUGAGGCUGAGACAGGGCCAAUCAGAUGGGAGAGGGGAAAGAGAGAGGACUGGGACAGGCUGGAGGGAACAGGGGCAAAAGGAGUCAGGCUUGGAGAGAACGGCAAAAAACAGUCUAUAACCAUUAUGAACAUUGUUCUCCAGAAGCUGGAAUGGAGCCCAAGAUUCCUGAGUCUUAUCAUUCCUCUGAAGUCAGCAAAUACUUGUGAAAUCUACUGGCAAAGUGUCUCCUCCCUCUCUAGUUCCAGUCCACACUGAAGAUAAUAGCUUACUACUUCUGUCAGUUAUUCCAUUAACUCAAGUGGCAGAGGUCUGUGCUGGGGAUGUAAAGGUUCCAACUGUGCUCAUUAACCAUACAAAGAUAGGGCUGGAAGGAUCUCAAGAGGUCAUUUGGUCCUUCCCUUGCACUGAGUCAGGACCAAAUAAAUGUAGACCAUUCCUGACAGGUGUUUGUCCAACUGUUCUUAAAAAUCUCCAGUUAUGGGGAUUCCAUAACUUCCCUUGGUAACCUAUUCCAGGACUUAGCUAUCUUUAUCGAUAGAAAGUUUUAUCUAAUCUUGCUGCAGCUUACAAUGAUUGCUUCUUCUCCUAUCUUCAGUGGAGGUAAUGCGGAACAAUUGAUCCUCUUUAUAACAGCCCUGAACAUAUUUGAAAACAUGUAUCAGCUUCCCCCCGUCAGUCUUCUUUUCUCAAGACUAAACAUUCCCAGUUUUUUUUAACCCUUCCUCAUAGGUCAGGAGUUCUAAACCUUUUCUUAUUUGUGUUGCUCUCAUCUGGACUCUCUACACUUUGUUCACAUGUUUCUUAAAUGUGCUGCCCAAACUGGACACAGUACUCUAGCUGAGCCUUACCAGUGCCAAGCAUAGCAGAAGAAUUACCUCCACAUAAUACAAAAAUGGCAUAUAUCAUUCCGGAGUGUAACUGCAUCACAUUGUUGACUCAUAUUCAAUUUUUAGUCCACUAUAACCCCCAGUUCCUUUUCUGCAGCAUUACCACCCUAGCCACUUAUUUACCAUUUUAUAUUUGUGCAUUUGAUUUCUCCUUCCUAAGUCUAGCACUUUGCACCCAUCUUCAUUAUAUUUCAUCUUGUUGAUUUCAAAGCCAAUUCUCCAAUUCAUUUUCAAUUCUAAUCCUAUCCUCCAAAGUGCUUGCAAACCCUCCCAAACUUUAUGUUAUUUAAACAUUUUUAUAAGCACAUGUUCCACACUGUCAUCCCAGUCAUUAAUGAAAAUGUUGAAUCCUACUGGACCCAGCACAGACUCCUGUGCAACCCCACUAGAUAUGGCCUCCCUUUUUGAUAAUAUGUUUUUUUUUCAACUAGCUGUGUACCCACCUUAAAAUGAUUUAAUCUAGACCACAUUUGCCCAUGAGAAUUGUGACAUAUCUUUCUCUGAAGAGCCCAUUAUUAAAUAUUUGUUCCCCAUGUAGAUACUUACAGAUGGUAAUCA